CUGAAGUGUUCUUUACAAGUUUAAGCGAGUGGCUGCUGAAAGCAUCGGAGUUAGCAAUAUCAGAAGUCUUCUGUAUCUGAUCCUGGCCACAUUCUUUCUCAGUAUACUGAUGCACUCACCUACAAGUCCCAGCAACAGGGAAAAAAGCAAUGACAUUGACAUGUGACCAAAACACACUUAUAAUUCAAUUUGCAGGACCAUGAGGAUGUGCUACAAAAGACAGACAGCAGCCACAUUUGGAAGAAAUCCAUUGCAUAACAGAGGACAGUAUCCGUGACAGAAUUAAGCAGGCUCAGAAUUAAGGCUAUCCUCUUCUUCUCACACCGCAAUACCACAAUACCUGAUAACUACUGGGUGCCGGCGGCCGGCUCCUGGCGACCACCAUGCCGGAAUCCCGACCGCUGGCAUACUGACAUCUUUUCUUCCUCUUGGGGGUCAACGACAAGAGCAGCAUGCAGCCAGCAGCAUGGCGAGCACAGCGAGUCCGCAAGGAGCUAAUUUGCGCUCGCCCAGCUGUCGGUAUGCCGGCUGUCGGUAUUCCGGCGCCGGUAUGCUGAUCGCCAGGACCCCGACCGCUGGCAAACCAUACUACACUUUAAUAGGACAGCUGCUAUGGAUUGUUGAUUUUAGGAAGCACCCCCCUACACUCUCCCCACUCACAAUUGCAGACAAUGUAGUAACUGUGGGGGAAUCCUUCAGAUUCCUGGGCUCCACAAUCUCCAAGGAUCUGAGGUGGAAGUCUAAUAUUGAGGGCAUUGUGGGGAAAGCCCAGCAAAAACUGUACUUCUUACGCCAACUUAGGAAGUUUAAACUGACGCAGGAACUUCUGAUCCUUUUCUACUGCAGUUAUCCAAUCUGUUCUCUGCACCUUGAUAAUAGUGUGGUUUGGAUCUGCCUCAACCCACGACAGAAAUAGGCUACAACAAAUUGUUAGGGUAGUGGAAAUAAUCAUAGUGACAAAUCUUCCAGCAGUCGAGGGGCAUCUAUCAGGCAAGGGUUACGAAGCGGGCGGGGAGGAUCAUUGAUGACCAUUCUCACCCUGCUCAUGUCCUGUUCCGGCUGCUGCUGUCUGGCAGAUGGUACAGCUUGCGGCUCGUGAGCACUGCUAGGCACAGGAACAGUUUUUUCCUCAGGUAACUAACUUGGUUAAUUCGGCAAUCGCUUAGUCAUAUUCUCAGAUUCGUUCAGUACUCAACUCAUGUACUCAAGCUAUCCACCAUGUGUUCUUCCUUCCUUUAUGUUUCUUGUCGUAUGUUAUAUAUAUGGGAGCUGUGGUUAUUGGAAACAAAUUCUGUGUGUAUUAUGUACUGAUAUACUUGGCAAUAAACUGAUUCAGACUUCUGA